CUUAUAUGUGCAGUGCGUUACAAGUAGUUUCAAUACAAAAUUAAUAUUAAAAAUUAUAUAAUUAAUAUUCAAACAAUGACUACAGUAGAUAAAAUAGCAAAACAGUAUAAUGCUUACGACUAUCAGAAGAACAUGUCAAUGCAGUAGGUUGAUGCAGUUCUACACGAUAAAAAACGUAGCGUCGUCCGUACUACUUUAUCUACAAACAAAUAUUAGGAGAUAAUAGUGUAGUGAAUCAUCAUUAUUGAUAAAAAUUACUAUAGUAAAGACGUUUCAAGAGAAAGGUUUGUAAAUAACAUGUUUACCUGCAUACGUUUCUUUGUCAAAGAGAAAUAUAAAUCUAAAUUGCUGCUUUUAGCAUUUAACAAGCAUAGAUGUCCGCAAUUCAUUUUCAAGUACAAGAAUUACACUCCUUGUCACAUCCUUUUGCCAACCUUAGGAAAAAGUCUCGAAAGAACAAAAGUUUUAUAUCUUGGUGAAAAAUUAUCGUAGCUCUAAAAUUCCAACGCGAUUGCCUUCUGUGAGCUCAUAGCUUUCGAAAAAAAAACUAUUGCGGACAAAAAAAACUAGAAAAUAUGUUUUAUUAACAAUAAAAUAAUAAUAAAAAAAUCAAAAUGCUUAACCCUCAUGUAAUUCUGUAUAAUUCUUGAAUUUCAAAAAUGUCAACAACAUUCAAAAACUUAUGCUUUGAACUUGAAAAUACGUGGUUAAACAAGUUUACGUUAA